rnacentral:rRNA from 1 species
CAGGCCUAACACAUGCAAGUCGAACGGAUGUAGCAAUACAUUAGUGGCGCACGGGUGCGUAACACGUAACUAACCUACCCAGAACUGGGGGAUAGCCCGCCGAAAGGCGGAUUAAUACCGCAUAACACGAGGUGGCGGCAUCGUCUCUUCGUUAAAGAUUUAUUGGUUUUGGAUGGGGUUGCGGGUCAUUAGCUAGUUGGGUAGGUAACGGCUGCCCAAGGCGACGAUGACUAGGGGAGCUGAGAGGCUGGUCCCCCACACGGGCACUGAGAUACGGGCCCGACUCCUACGGGAGGCAGCAGUAGGGAAUAUUGGGCAAUGGGCGAGAGCCUGACCCAGCCAUGCCGCGUGCAGGACGAAGGCUUUCUGAGUCGUAAACUGCUUUUGACAGGGAAGAAUAAGGCUUACGUGUAAGCUGAUGACGGUACCUGCAGAAUAAGCACCGGCUAACUCCGUGCCAGCAGCCGCGGUAAU